UACCUGGUUGAUCCUGCCAGUAGUCAUAUGCUUGUCUCAAAGAUUAAGCCAUGCAUGUGUAAGCACACACUGUUUUAAAAGUGAAGCCGCGAAUGGCUCAUUACAACAGCCACAGUUUAUUAGAACUUACAAUCAUGGAUAACUGUGGUAAUUCUAGAGCUAAUACACGCACAAAAACUUCAACUGAAUUGGUUGAAGUGCUUUUAUUAGAACAAAAACCGAACGGCGUUUGACGAAUGUUGAACGUCGAAACUGUUUGGUGAAUCUGAAUAACUAUUUCUGAUCGCAUGGUCUAGCACCGGCGACAUCACUUUCAAGUGUCUGCCUUAUCAACCUUCGAUGGUAGUCUAUGCGACUACCAUGGUGAUAACGGGUAACGGAGAAUCAGGGUUCGACUCCGGAGAGGGAGCCUGAGAAACGGCUACCACAUCCAAGGAAGGCAGCAGGCGCGCAAAUUACCCACUCCCAGCUUGGGGAGGUAGUGACGAAAAAUAACGAGACGAUUCUCGUUUGAGAAACGUUAUCGAAAUGAGUACGCUUUACACACGCUAACGAGUAGCAAUUGGAGGGCAAGUCUGGUGCCAGCAGCCGCGGUAAUUCCAGCUCCAAUAGCGUAUAUUAAAGUUGCUGCGGUUAAAACGCUCGUAGUUGAAUUGUGGUCUUAGACACAGUCCCCCUACAA
rnacentral:ncRNA from 1 species